UACGGGGGGGAGACAGCUGUUGUCGAUUUACUGGGCGUAAAGGGCUCGUAGGCGGCCAACUAAGUCAUACGUGAAAUCCCUCGGCUUAACCGGGGAACUGCGUCUGAUACUGGAUGGCUUGAGUUCGGGAGAGGGAUGCGGAAUUCCAGGUGUAGCGGUGAAAUGCGUAGAUAUCUGGAGGAACACCGGUGGCGAAGGCGGCAUCCUGGACCGAUACUGACGCUGAGGAGCGAAAGCCAGGGGAGCAAAGCGGG
rnacentral:rRNA from 1 species